rnacentral:rRNA from 1 species
AAUGAACGCUGGCGGCAUGGAUUAGGCAUGCAAGUCGAGCGGUAACGGAGACUUCGGUCUGCUGACGAGCGGCGAACGGGUGAGUAUCGCGUGAGAAUCUGCCCCAAAGUUCGGGAUAGCCCAUGGAAACGUGGAUUAAUACCGGAUGUGUCUGCAAGGACAAAGGCUUCGGUCGCUUUGGGAUGAGCUCGCGUAUCAUCAGCUUGUUGGUAGGGUAACGGCCUACCAAGGCUACGACGAUUAGCUGGUUUGAGAGAAUGGUCAGCCACACUGGGACUGAGACACUGCCCAG